AUGCCUUUGUUACAAGUGGUUCAUUUGUAAAUUUGUAUGAGUGUAUGGAUAUAAUAAAAAAAAAAAAAAAAAAAAAAAAUCUGUUCUUAUCAGUUUAAUAUCUGAUACGUCCCCCAUCCGGGGACUACAUACUAAAUGGAUUUUUAGAUCACGGAGCUGGAGCCGGGGCUUGCUCCGUCCACUCCAUGCAUCGGCCUGGUAUUGCAGUGUCUCCAGGAACGGUGUGCUUUCC
rnacentral:snRNA from 1 species